UACAGAGGAUGCAAGCGUUAUCCGGAAUGAUUGGGCGUAAGCGUCUGUAGGUGGCUUUUAAGUCCGCCGUCAAAUCCCAGGGCUCAACUCUGGACAGGCGGUGGAAACUACCAAGCUGGAGUACGGUAGGGCAGAGGGAAUUUCCGGUGGAGCGGUGAAAUGCGUAGAGAUGUGGAGGAACACCAGUGGCGAAGGCGGCUUCUGGUCUGUAACUGACGCUGAGGCGCGAAAGC
rnacentral:rRNA from 1 species